UGCAAGUCGAGCGAACUGAUUAGAAGCUUGCUUCUAUAGACGUUAGCGGCGGACGGGUGAGUAACACGUGGGCAACCUGCCUGUAAGACUGGGAUAACUUCGGGAAACCGAAGCUAAUACCGGAUAGGAUCUUCUCCUUCAUGGGAGAUGAUUGAAAGAUGGUUUCGGCUAUCACUUACAGAUGGGCCCGCGGUGCAUUAGCUAGUUGGUGAGGUAACGGCUCACCAAGGCAACGAUGCAUAGCCGACCUGAGAGGGUGAUCGGCCACACUGGGACUGAGACACGGCCCAGACUCCUACGGGAGGCAGCAGUAGGGAAUCUUCCGCAAUGGACGAAAGUCUGACGGAGCAACGCCGCGUGAGUGAUGAAGGCUUUCGGGUCGUAAAACUCUGUUGUUAGGGAAGAACAAGUACGAGAGUAACUGCUCGUACCUUGACGGUACCUAACCAGAAAGCCACGGCUAACUACGUGCCAGCAGCCGCGGUAAUACGUAGGUGGCAAGCGUUAUCCGGAAUUAUUGGGCGUAAAGCGCGCGCAGGCGGUUUCUUAAGUCUGAUGUGAAAGCCCACGGCUCAACCGUGGAGGGUCAUUGGAAACUGGGGAACUUGAGUGCAGAAGAGAAAAGCGGAAUUCCACGUGUAGCGGUGAAAUGCGUAGAGAUGUGGAGGAACACCAGUGGCGAAGCGGCUUUUUGGUCUGUAACUGACGCUGAGGCGCGAAAGCGUGGGGAGCAAACAGGAUUAGAUACACUGGUACUCCACGCCAUAAACGAUGAGUGCUAAGUGUUAGAUGGUUUCCGCUCUUUAGUGCUGCAGCUAACGCAUUAAGCCCUCCGCCUGGGGAGCACGGACGCAAG
rnacentral:rRNA from 2 species